rnacentral:lncRNA from 1 species
CUUCGAUCGUGUGUCCGCCGUUGUUUGGAGCGGAUUCGGAUGAAAGCGGCUUCUGCUGCUCCGUCCUUGCUUCCAUUGGCUUUCCUCGCUUUUGCCACGCGUGGGCAUUUUUUCGCUCUAUGGUUACAUAUAUACAAUAAUUGCUUCUUUAUUGAAUUAGGGUUCAUGUUGAUUCAACUUGGUCAUUGUGCUGCUGUUGGAGCUCAGGACAUGCAUCAUUUGCGCAGGGAUAUUCGGUUUAGUAUGUGGCAGUUCUAUUCUAUGUGAUAAUUUGAUGUUUCAAAUAGCACGUCCUUAUGUAGAUAUGCUCUGAUUGUUUCUUAGCAGGAUCACCUCCAAACAAAUUAGAUCAGCGAUCUUUUUUUGUCACUUUGAUUUAUCCACCACUCUAAAUUGAUUUAGCACCUGAGCAAGUUGUCAAUGACAUGUUAGUUUUAGGUGAGAACAUUGUUCCUCCUAUUCUUUGUGAUAAUUUGGUGUCUCAAAUACCAUGUCCCUAUGUAAAUAUGUAUUAGCUGUUUCUUAGCAGGAACACCUCCAAACAAG